CGUAGGGCGCAAGCGUUGUCCGGAAUUAUUGGGCGUAAAGAGCUCGUAGGCGGUUUGUCGCGUCCGCUGUGAAAUCCCCAGGCUCAACUUGUGGCGUGCAGUGGGUACGGGCAGACUAGAGUGCGGUAGGGGAGACUGGAAUUCCUGGUGUAGCGGUGGAAUGCGCAGAUAUCAGGAGGAACACCGAUGGCGAAGGCAGGUCUCUGGGCCGUUACUGACGCUGAGGAGCGAAAGCAUGGGAGCGAACAGGAUU
rnacentral:rRNA from 1 species